UUCUAAUAUGGCAGACAAAGUGCAUUGGACUUAAACCCCAAAUAUAAAGCUUAACCUUUUUUUAGAAA
rnacentral:tRNA from 1 species